rnacentral:rRNA from 1 species
GGGGAAUCUUGCACAAUGGGGGAAACCCUGAUGCAGCGACGCCGCGUGAACGAUGAAGCCCUUCGGGGUGUAAAGUUCUUUCGACAGGAACGAUAAUGACGGUACCUGGAGAAGAAGCUGCGGCUAACUACGUGCCAGCAGCCGCGGUAAUACGUAGGCAGCGAGCGUUGUUCGGAGUUACUGGGCGUAAAGAGUGCGUAGGCGGCGAGCCAAGUUUGGUGUGAAAUCUCCCGGCUUAACCGGGAGGGUGCGCCGAAAACUGGUUGGCUGGAGUAUGGGAGAGGAAAGCGGAAUUCCUGGUGUAGCGGUGAAAUGCGUAGAUAUCAGGGGGAACACCUGCGGUGUAGACAGCUUUCUGGACCAAAACUGACGCUGAGGCACGAAAGCGUGGGUAGCAAAC